CCUACGGGUGGCUGCAGUGGGGAAUAUUGGACAAUGGGGGCAACCCUGAUCCAGCCAUGCCGCGUGUGUGAAGAAGGCCCUCGGGUUGUAAAGCACUUUCAGUGAGGAAGAACGCCUGGUGGUUAAUACCCAUCAGGAAAGACAUCACUCACAGAAGAAGCACCGGCUAACUCCGUGCCAGCAGCCGCGGUAAUACGGAGGGUGCGAGCGUUAAUCGGAAUUACUGGGCGUAAAGCGCGCGUAGGUGGCUUGAUAAGCCGGUUGUGAAAGCCCCGGGCUCAACCUGGGAACGGCAUCCGGAACUGUCAAGCUAGAGUGCAGGAGAGGAAGGUAGAAUUCCCGGUGUAGCGGUGAAAUGCGUAGAGAUCGGGAGGAAUACCAGUGGCGAAGGCGGCCUUCUGGGCUGACACUGACACUGAGGUGCGAAAGCGUGGGUAGCAAACAGGAUUAGAUACCCGAGUAGUC
rnacentral:rRNA from 1 species